CCUACGGGGGGCAGCAGUGGGGAAUAUUGCACAAUGGGGGAAACCCUGAUGCAGCGACGCCGCGUGAGUGAAGAAGUAAUUCGUUACGUAAAGCUCUAUCAGCAGGGAAGCAAUACUGACCUUACGGUCAGCAGACGGUACCUGAGUAAGAAGCACCGGCUAACUACGUGCCAGCAGCCGCGGUAAUACGUAGGGGGCAAGCGUUAUCCGGAUUUACUGGGUGUAAAGGGAGCGUAGACGGUGCGCCAAGUCUGGAGUGAAAUGCUGCAGCUUAACUGCGGAACUGCAUUGGAAACUGGCGAACUAGAGGGCGGGAGGGGGAAGCGGAAUUCCUAGUGUAGCGGUGAAAUGGGGAGAUAUUAGGAGGAACACCGGUGGCGAAGGCGGCUUACUGGACCGUAACUGACGUUGAGGCUCGAAAGCGUGGGGAGCAAACAGGAUUAGAUACCCGAGUAGUC
rnacentral:rRNA from 1 species